rnacentral:rRNA from 1 species
AUUGAACGCUGGCGGCAGGCCUAACACAUGCAAGUCGAACGAGUGGCGGACGGGUGAGUAAUGUCUGGGAAACUGCCUGAUGGAGGGGGAUAACUACUGGAAACGGUAGCUAAUACCGCAUACCAUCGGAUGUGCCCAGAUGGGAUUAGCUAGUAGGUGGGGUAACGGCUCACCUAGGCGACGCUCCCUCGCUGGUCUGAGAGGAUGACGAGCCACACGGGACCGGAGACACGGUCCAGACUCCUACGGGCGGCAGCAGUGGGGAAUAUUGCACAAUGGGCGCAAGCCUGAUGCAGCCAUGCCGCGUGUAUGAAGAAGGCCUGCGGGUUGUAAAGUUCUUUCAGCGGGGAGGCGUUACCUGCAGAAGAAGCACCGGCUAACUCCGUGCCAGCAGCCGCGGUAAUAC